UACGUAGGGUGCAAGCGUUAUUCGGAAUUACUGGGCGUAAAGCGUGCGCAGGCGGUUUUGCAAGACAGAUGUGAAAUCCCCGGGCUUAACCUGGGAACCGCAUUUGUGACUGCAUAGCUGGAGUACGGCAGAGGGGGAUGGAAUUCCGCGUGUAGCAGUGAAAUGCGUAGAUAUGCGGAGGAACACCGAUGGCGAAGGCAGUCCCCUGGGCCUGUACUGACGCUCAUGCACGAAAGCGUGGGGAGCAAACAGG
rnacentral:rRNA from 1 species